rnacentral:lncRNA from 1 species
GGAAAUUGAAUUGUCAUUUUCAAAACAACUUUUGAUAAUUCUUCACUGUCCCCUUAAAUAUUGAUGAAUCUUUUCAGUGGCACUCUACCGUUAGUUUAAAGUCUGGAGAGUGACAAGUUGAUUGAAAACCAUAAAUCAAGAAACGCUUAGUGCUUAAUAGUUUUUCUGAUUUUCCAUCCGAUAUUUGAUAUCCGCAUUGGAAUACAAUUAUAUCCGAAUUCGUGACGGGUAAGGCCCCAUCGGUGGAAACCGCUUCCUGUAAGGAUUUUUUCAUAAGCCAGGGCUCGAACUCGAGACCUCUCGUUAAGGGAGGAGCAGCUCUAAACACUGCAAGUGAUGUUAAAAGUUCAUUAAUAUUAGUAUAUUCUCUUCUUCAAUGUCUUUUUAUUGCUUUGUCUCUUAUUGUAUAAAUUCCUUCACCUAAUUAAUCUAUAUCGUUAACGGCUCUAAUAUUAUGAGAGAAUGGACACUACUGUUAUCUCAACUUUAUUUUAGGCUUUACUAGUAGUGGCGGAUCUAUAAAGCAAAUUUUAUUUGAUUGUAAAUUCAAUUAUUAUUAUUA